rnacentral:rRNA from 1 species
GAUGAACGCUAGCGAGACGCCUAACACAUGCAAGUCGAAUGCUUCGCUUGCGAAGCAUGGCAAACGGGUGCGUAACACGUGCUUAACCUGCCCUGGAGUGGGGGAUACCUGUAGAAAUACAACUAAUCCCGCAUACGCUCAUCAUUAUGAAAAACUGAUGAGGAAAGAUUUAUCGCUCUAGGAGGGGGGCGCGGCCUAUUAGCUAGUUGGUGAGGUAAUAGCUCACCAAGGCAAUGAUGGGUAGCUGGUCUGAGAGGAUGAUCAGCCACAAUGGAACUGAGACACGGUCCAUACCCCUACGGGGGGCAGCAGUGGGGAAUCUUGCGCAAUGGACGAAAGUCUGACGCAGCGAUCUCGCGUGGAGGAUGAAGCAUUAAGGUGUGUAAACUUCUUUUUUGGAGGAAGACGACUGACGGUACUCCAAGAAUAAGGGACGGCUAACUACG